rnacentral:rRNA from 1 species
CACGUAGGGCGCAAGCGUUGUCCGGAAUUAUUGGGCGUAAAGAGCUCGUAGGCGGUCCGUCACGUCCGCUGUGAAAACCCAGGGCUCAACCCUGGGCUUGCAGUGGAUACGGGCAGACUAGAGGUAGGUAGGGGAGAAUGGAAUUCCCGGUGUAGCGGUGAAAUGCGCAGAUAUCGGGAGGAACACCGGUGGCGAAGGCGGUUCUCUGGGCCUUAACUGACGCUGAGGAGCGAAAGCGUGGGGAGCGAACAGG